GGACAAACACAUACGACCAAUGGUUGUAAGUAAAAUAAUUUUAAUAAUAAAACCUAUUUUUUUGAAGGCUUUAUUUUAUCUUUAGUGCUCAAACAAUUCAUCUUAACAUUAUAUAAAAUAAAAAAUGACAAAAGGAGGAAAAAUGAAAACGGAGAAAAUAUGAAUACAAUUCUUAAAUUUGUUUAUGUUGUGAUUGCCUUCAUUUCAAUAUUUUUUGUUGUAAGUGCCAUGAGCUACGGAUCACGUAAUCAUUGUCUCGGAAACAUGGAUUGUUCUCCUUCAUUGUGCCCCUUGCUUAAUAUGAAAGCAAUUUGUAGUAGUUAUAGUUGUAUUUGCAUCAAAGUCUACCCCAAUUAAGUUAAAAUAUAAUUAUAUGUUACUUAUACUUCUACAAUUUUACUUAUUACACGUUAAAAUAUUGUCACUUC